UACGUAGGGUGCGAGCGUUGUCCGGAAUUAUUGGGCGUAAAGAGCUUGUAGGCGGUCUGUCGCGUCUGCUGUGAAAAUCCGGGGCUCAACCCCGGACUUGCAGUGGGUACGGGCAGACUAGAGUGUGGUAGGGGAGACUGGAAUUCCUGGUGUAGCGGUGAAAUGCGCAGAUAUCGGGAGGAACACCAGUGGCGAAGGCGAUCACCUGGGGAUGUUCUGACGCUGGAGGAGCGAAAGCUAGGGGAGCAAACGGGG
rnacentral:rRNA from 1 species